rnacentral:rRNA from 1 species
UGGGGAAUAUUGCACAAUGGGCGCAAGCCUGAUGCAGCCAUGCCGCGUGUAUGAAGAAGGCCUUCGGGUUGUAAAGUACUUUCAGCGGGGAGGAAGGGAGUAAAGUUAAUACCUUUACUCAUUGACGUUACCCGCAGAAGAAGCACCGGCUAACUCCGUGCCAGCAGCCGCGGUAAUACGGAGGGUGCAAGCGUUAAUCGGAAUUACUGGGCGUAAAGCGCACGCAGGCGGUUUGUUAAGUCAGAUGUGAAAGCCCCGGGCUCAACCUGGGAACUGCAUCUGAUACUGGCAAGCUUGAGUCUCGUAGAGGGGGGUAGAAUUCCAGGUGUAGCGAUGAAAUGCGUAGAGAUCUGGAGGAAUACCGGUGGCGAAGGCGGCCCCCUGGACAAAGACUGACGCUCAGGUGCGAAAGCGUGGGGAGCAAACAGG